GCUACGGAUGGCUGCGCUGUUCUCUCUACAGCAGCAACUUCGCACUCAAAAACACAAACAUGUCCGUGGUGCCUGGUGGCAAGAAGCUGGUCCGGAGCCCGAGUGGGCUCCGCAUGAUACCGGAGAACGGAGCUUUCAACAGCCCGUUUGCCCUUGAUGAGCCGCAGUGGGUUCCGGAUAAAGAAUGUCCCAGGUGCAUGCAGUGUGAUACUAAGUUUGACUUCAUCACCAGGAAGCAUCACUGCCGGCGCUGUGGCCGGUGUUUCUGCGAUAAGUGUUGCAGUCAGAAAGUGGCUCUGCCCAGGAUGUGUUUUGUGGAUCCGGUGAGGCAGUGUGCAGAGUGCAGUCUCAUCUCACAGAAAGAGGUGGAGUUUUACGACAAACAGCUUAAAGUGCUCACCGCCGGAGGAACUUUCCUGGUCAAAGUGGGUUCCUCAGAGAAAACAGAGACAAUGGUGUGCCGACUGUCCAAUAACCAUAGAUAUCUCUUCCUAGAUGGGGACAGUCAUUUUGAGGUGGAGCUGUCUCGCAUUUCCAGUACACAGGUGUUGACUGAGGGAUCGACCCCAGGAGAGGAAAGUGAGGAAAUGAUGCAAGUAGAAUUCCUCUUGGAGGCACAUUGUUUCCCAUGGAUUUCCCAUCACACAUUUUAUGAUUGCUGCAGAUGUUACCAUCUAACUCUUUGCCAAGCAGUUCCCUCCGUGCCAGCGGCAUGAUGCUUCAGUAUAAGCCACCAGGAUCUCAGAACCUUCAGCAGCUUCACAUGGAGACUGCAGAAGACAAGCGCAUCGCGUCUGCCUGGCUCGCAGCCAUGCACAAAGCUGCCAAACUGUUGUACGAGUCAAGGGACCAGUGAAAUGACAAAGGAAAAAUCACAGUGCAAAAGACAGAGAGAGAUGGACAGAACUAGAAGGAAAGAAAGAGAACAAAACCAAGUAUUUUGUGUUAUUCAGUCUUACAUGUACUCUAAGAUGCUUGUAUGAUUUGUAUCCAAUCCUUUGCUGCUUCUCCCUGUCGAGACAGACCAGAUGUACUCACAAACUGUCUGUCUGUUGGGGAGGACCAAGUUUUCAGAUGACUCGUGCAAUAUGGACAUGUAUGAUAAUAUAUAAACACCAUUUAACAGAUGCUUUAAAUGUAGUCUCACGUAUCAAAGUUUUGUAAACAAAAUAUAUUUUGUCAGAUAUUCUUAUUUUAACACAAAAUGCUGUGUAUCUACUUUAUACUGCCCAAGUAUUUACAAUAUUUAGUGUUUUUCUUUUUUCUUGACAUGUUUCAAACACUUUUGAAGAACACUUGUUUUUCCUACACUACAGAAUGACAUUUCAUUUCUUGGUCAUGUGUUUUAAGUCUGCAGAGCAAGAUUUCCCUUUUUUAGAAAACCUGAAAUUAGAGCAGCCAAAUUCCCUCGACAUACUUUAAACAUUCUUCAAGGUCAACUGGUUGUGUUUGCUAAUUUUCAUUUUUCAAUGUACACCAAAUAAACAUGUUGAAUCCACAA